rnacentral:rRNA from 1 species
GAGGGUGAAAAGAACCUGAAACCGUUACGGGGGAAGCGAAUUGCGUCGAAUUGAUUUUAUGGGGGGUGCACUGUUCAGCGCGUUUUGCGUGUACUCAGGGCAUUUUUCCUUACCCGUCGUGGGUUUUUGGAUGGUCGAAUUUGGGCCGUCUAGGACUGAGGGAUCCUCUUUUUUUAAUAUAAGGGUGAGGACGACGGGGCGCGAACGCGAUACGACCCGUCUUGAAACACGGACCAAGGAGUUCAGCAUAUGUGCGAGUCAAAGGGUGGUGAAACCUGAGGGCGCAGUGAAAGCGAUUUAACACGGAUCGUGUAAGAACUAAAACAUAUAAUUUUCAGUUUUAAGGCGGCAUACAAUGGGUGAUUGUAGGACCGACCUCGAGCAGAUAUGCUGAGACCCGAAAGAUGGUGAACUAUGCCGGAGUAGGGCGAAGCCAGAGGAAACUCUGGUGGAGGCUCGUAGCGGUGCUGACGUGCAAAUCGCUCGUCUGACUUGGGUAUAGGGGCGAAAAACUAAUCGAACCAUCUAGUAGCUGGUU